UACAUAGGGGGCAAGCGUUGUCCGGAUUCAUUGGGCGUAAAGAGCGUGUAGGCGGCCAGGUAGGUCGGUUGUGAAAACUGGAGGCUCAACCUUCAGAGGUCGACCGAAACCAUCUGGCUAGAGUCCGGGAGAGGAGAGUGGAAUUCCUGGUGUAGCGGUGAAAUGCGCAGAUAUCUGGAGGAACACCGGUGGCGAAGGCGGCAUUCUGGACUGCAACUGACACUGAAAGACGAAAGCCAGGGGAGCAAACGGG
rnacentral:rRNA from 1 species